AGAGUUUGAUCAUGGCUCAGAUUGAACGCUGGCGGCAUGCCUUACACAUGCAAGUCGAACGGCAGCACGGGUGCUUGCACCUGGUGGCGAGUGGCGAACGGGUGAGUAAUAUAUCGGAACGUACCCUAGAGUGGGGGAUAACGUAGCGAAAGUUACGCUAAUACCGCAUACGACCUACGGAUGAAAGUGGGGGAUCGCAAGACCUCAUGCUCAUGGAGCGGCCGAUAUCUGAUUAGCUAGUUGGUGGGGUAAAAGCCUACCAAGGCGACGAUCAGUAGCUGGUCUGAGAGGACGACCAGCCACACUGGAACUGAGACACGGUCCAGACUCCUACGGGAGGCAGCAGUGGGGAAUUUUGGACAAUGGGGGCAACCCUGAUCCAGCAAUGCCGCGUGAGUGAAGAAGGCCUUCGGGUUGUAAAGCUCUUUUGUCAGGGAAGAAACGGGAUUUUCUAAUACAAAGUCCUAAUGACGGUACCUGAAGAAUAAGCACCGGCUAACUACGUGCCAGCAGCCGCGGUAAUACGUAGGGUGCAAGCGUUAAUCGGAAUUACUGGGCGUAAAGCGUGCGCAGGCGGUUGUGCAAGACAGAUGUGAAAUCCCCGGGCUCAACCUGGGAAUUGCAUUUGUGACUGCACGGCUAGAGUGUGUCAGAGGGGGGUAGAAUUCCACGUGUAGCAGUGAAAUGCGUAGAGAUGUGGAGGAAUACCGAUGGCGAAGGCAGCCCCCUGGGAUAACACUGACGCUCAUGCACGAAAGCGUGGGGAGCAAACAGGAUUAGAUACCCUGGUAGUCCACGCCCUAAACGAUGUCUACUAGUUGUCGGGUCUUAAUUGACUUGGUAACGCAGCUAACGCGUGAAGUAGACCGCCUGGGGAGUGCGGUCGCAAGAUUAAAACUCAAAGGAAUUGACGGGGACCCGCACAAGCGGUGGAUGAUGUGGAUUAAUUCGAUGCAACGCGAAAAACCUUACCUACCCUUGACAUGUACGGAACUUACCAGAGAUGGUUUGGUGCUCGAAAGAGAACCGUAACACAGGUGCUGCAUGGCUGUCGUCAGCUCGUGUCGUGAGAUGUUGGGUUAAGUCCCGCAACGAGCGCAACCCUUGUCAUUAGUUGCUACGAAAGGGCACUCUAAUGAGACUGCCGGUGACAAACCGGAGGAAGGUGGGGAUGACGUCAAGUCCUCAUGGCCCUUAUGGGUAGGGCUUCACACGUCAUACAAUGGUACAUACAGAGGGCCGCCAACCCGCGAGGGGGAGCUAAUCCCAGAAAGUGUAUCGUAGUCCGGAUUGUAGUCUGCAACUCGACUACAUGAAGUUGGAAUCGCUAGUAAUCGCGGAUCAGCAUGUCGCGGUGAAUACGUUCCCGGGUCUUGUACACACCGCCCGUCACACCAUGGGAGCGGGUUUCACCAGAAGUAGGUAGCCUAACCGCAAGGAGGGCGCUUACCACGGUGGGAUUCGUGACUGGGGUGAAGUCGUAACAAGGUA
rnacentral:rRNA from 1 species